rnacentral:rRNA from 1 species
GAUGAACGCUGGCGGCGUGCCUAAUACAUGCAAGUCGAGCGAACAGACGAGGAGCUUGCUCCUUUGACGUUAGCGGCGGACGGGUGAGUAACACGUGGAUCACCUACCUAUAAGACUGGGAUAACUUCGGGAAACCGGAGCUAAUACCGGAUAAUAUAUUGAACCGCAUGGUUCAAUAGUGAAAGACGGUUUUGCUGUCACUUAUAGAUGGAUCCGCGCCGCAUUAGCUAGUUGGUAAGGUAACGGCUUACCAAGGCAACGAUGCGUAGCCGACCUGAGAGGGUGAUCGGCCACACUGGAACUGAGACACGGUCCAGACUCCUACGGGAGGCAGCAGUAGGGAAUAUUCGGCAAUGGGCGAAAGCUUGACGGAGCAACGCCGCGUGAGUGAUGAAGGUCUUCGGAUCGUAAAGCCCUGUUAUUGGGGAAGAACAAAUGUGGAUUUAUCUAUGGACGUCUUGACGGUACCUAAUGAAAAAGCACCGGCUAACUACGUG